rfam:Schistosoma margrebowiei strain Zambia genome assembly, scaffold: SMRZ_contig0004537
AUCCAGUUGGCGAGUCCCGAACAGUACGAAACACGCGUCCUGGAU